rnacentral:rRNA from 1 species
GAUUAUUAAUAGAUAUUUCUUAAAAUUUAAAGAAUUUGGCGGUAUUUAGUCUUGUCAGAGGAACCUGUUUUUUAAUCGAUACACCACGUUAUAUCUUACUUAUUUUAAAUGGUUUGUAUACCAUCAUUAACAGAUAAUUUUAAAAGAAAAAAUUAUUAAAAUUGAACAUAUUAAAAAAAUUAGAUCAAGGUGCAGCUGAUAAAUAAGUUAAAAUGGGUUACAAUAAAAUUUAUUUAUACGAAAUGAUUUAAAAAAUUAAAUAUAAAGGUGGAUUUGAUUGUAAUGUGGGCUUAGUAAGCGUAUA